UACGGAGGGUGCGAGCGUUGUCCGGAAUCACUGGGCGUAAAGGGCGCGUAGGCGGCUUCUCAAGCGUGUGGUGAAAGUCCGGGGCUCAACCCCGGAUCGGCCGUGCGGACUGGGGAGCUCGAGUUCUGUAGAGGCGGGUGGAAUUCCGGGUGUAACGGUGGAAUGCGUAGAGAUACCGGAAGAACACCGGUGGCGAAGGCGGCCCGCUGGGCAGAGACUGACGCUGAGGCGCGACAGCGUGGGGAGCAAACAGG
rnacentral:rRNA from 1 species